rnacentral:rRNA from 1 species
UACGGAGGGUGCGAGCGUUGUCCGGAAUCACUGGGCGUAAGGGGCGCGUAGGCGGCCUGAUAAGUAGGGGGUGAAAUCCUGCGGCUUAACCGCAGGGCUGCCUUCUAAACUGUCAGGCUAGAGCACAGUAGAGGCAGGUGGAAUUCCCGGUGUAGCGGUGGAAUGCGUAGAGAUCGGGAAGAACAUCAGUGGCGAAGGCGGCGACCUGGUCCUUGACUGACGCUGAGGCGCGAAAGCGUGGGGAGCAAACAGG